GUAGUUGAACCUUGGGCCUGGCUGGCCGGUCCGCCUCACCGCGUGUACUGGUCCGGCCGGGCCUUUCCCUCUGUGGAACCCCAUGCCCUUCACUGGGCGUGGCGGGGAAACAGGACUUUUACUGUGAAAAAAUUAGAGUGCUCCAGGCAGGCCUAUGCUCGAAUACAUUAGCAUGGAAUAAUAGAAUAGGACGUGUGGUUCUAUUUUGUUGGUUUCUAGGACCGCCGUAAUGAUUAAUAGGGACAGUCGGGGGCAUCAGUAUUCAAUUGUCAGAGGUGAAAUUCUUGGAUUUAUUGAAGACUAACUACUGCGAAAGCAUUUGCCAAGGAUGUUUUCAUUAAUCAGGAACGAAAGUUAGGGGAUCGAAGACGAUCAGAUACCGUCGUAGUCUUAACCAUAAACUAUGCCGACUAGGGAUCGGACGGUGUUAUUUUUUGACCCGUUCGGCACCUUACGAGAAAUCAAAGUGCUUGGGCUCCAGGGGGAGUAUGGUCGCAAGGCUGAAACUUAAAGAAAUUGACGGAAGGGCACCACCAGGGGUGGAGCCUGCGGCUUAAUUUGACUCAACACGGGGAAACUCACCAGGUCCAGACACAAUAAGGAU
rnacentral:rRNA from 1 species